UACGUAGGGCGCAAGCGUUGUCCGGAAUUAUUGGGCGUGAAGAGCUCGUAGGCGGUUUGUCACGUCGGCUGUGAAAACCCGAGGCUCAACCUCGGGCCUGCAGUCGAUACGGGCAGACUAGAGUGCUGUAGGGGAGACUGGAAUUCCUGGUGUAGCGGUGAAAUGCGCAGAUAUCAGGAGGAACACCGGUGGCGAAGGCGGGUCUCUGGGCAGUAACUGACGCUGAGGAGCGAAAGCGUGGGGAGCAAACAGG
rnacentral:rRNA from 1 species